UGAAAGCUCAUGUGUGACAACCUGAUAUGUUUUGUAUGCGUUGUCUUUCUUUCUUUUCCUUGAAGAAAAUGUCCCAUCACCUUUGGUUGAUAUGGAGGCUAAGCAUUUUAUAUGAAACAUCAUCCGCAGCAAGGUGAUACAUAAGGUUCUCUUGCAGUUUUUUUUCUGCCAUUAUGGAACUUGGGAAGAAUCAGAUAUUUGCAUUUGUCUUAUCAUGAUGCUAUUUCUGCAAUCCGAUUUGAAUGCAUCUGAUCUUUGCAUUCAUCUAAACAUGAAGAGAUUCUCUUUUGGUAAUUCAUAUCCAUCACUCCAAGUUGCUUUGUUGUUGUUGGUGUAUCUCUCAGGUGUAUUGAUUAACUAAUUUGAUGCAAGAAAGGAAAUGCUUGAAUCAAAAUAAAAAUAUUAUUUUUCUACAAGACUUUGAUUUAGGAAACAUCCAUCCGGUGAUCAGUGUUUUCUGGUUUUGCAUCAGGUAUUGUAUGACAUUGUCACUGCUUCAGGAUCAAUAAUUGAAAAACAAAGGAAAGGGUUUUAUUAUAAUAGUGAUAACUGUUCAGUAUAUAGUUCUAUGUGAUGUGAUCAUGUACUAAAGUAACUUUUAUGCUAUCCUCCGAAUCUUGUGUGCUCGGACUUUCUGAUGUUGGAUGGGGAUCUGAUUGUUACAGUUACAUAUAAAAAAAUGCUUCUGAGCUUUUGGAUGUAUUAUGGUGCCCUUGGCAGGUCAGAGACUGAUAUAGUCAAUGUUGUGGAACAAAGGAUAUGGCAUUCCAUGGAAGAAGGGCAUUUUGAGAACCUACCUGGAAAGGGCCGACCUCUUAACCUCAACCCAAACCCGCAUGUGGAUCCUGCAGAAGACACCUUAUACAGAAUCCUAUCAAGAAAUGGUUGUGCACCUGAGUGGGUGGAACUGAACAAGGAAAUUCGCAGCAAAAUUACAGAGUGGAGGCUGGCCUUGAAGAAAGCUUGGGCUAACAAAUCAGAUCAUGAAGACUCGAAGUGGCAGGAUGAUUCAGAGAUUCUCAAGGCUCAGAUGCAUGAUAUCAAUGACAAGGUGAAUCAUUUUAGAUCCAUUGUUCUUUGUCUUUCAUUGAUGUGUAUUGACGUCAGAUUUAUCGAGUUCUUCCUCAUCUACAUAUAUUGCAGGUUCUUCGGUACAAUUUCAUUGUGCCCUUUGGCCGUCAAAUGUUUGGGCUCAAGUGGGAGAAAGAAAUAGCUAAGUUGGAAUAACCAUAUAUAUAGAGUCAUUCUGUUGUUUAUGGUAGUAAUGUUAUCCUCCAUUCUCUAGUAGAUAGAUCACUAUUACAGAUAUGCAGGAAUUCAUCAUGGAUUGUUUAAGAAUGUUAGUUGCUUUCACAUGACGCAGCUGGAAAACAAGGGGUGUGGAUGUGAUCAGGAAAGGAAAAAUCUCUAUAGAUCAAAACAUGUGAAGCUAGUAUUCCAAAAACAUGCAUCUAUUUUGUAUCUUUCAUUGUCUCAAAGUGAAUAUGACCGUCAAGAUCUUAUGAACUCGGAAGUUUUUGUUAGCAUUUUUGCUUAAGAGGCAAUUCAUGUAUUAAAGGUAGAAAGAAAGCAAUCUCUGUGUUUUCUGUUUUCAGUAGUGUUUAGCUAUCUUUAUUGAUAAAUAAUUCUUGCAUGUUGUCGAUCGAAACUUGUGAGUGUUUGUUUUGAGAGUCACAAUCAAUUAGAUUAAAUUUUGGGCAAGUAAUAUUCAUAAGAAUCCAAAAGUGUUUAGCUAUCUUAAUUGAUAAAUAAUUAUUUUGUGUAAGUAAUAUUCAUACGAAUCCAAAAGUGUUUAGCUAUCUUAAUUGAUAAAUAAUUCUUGCAUGCUGUUGAUCGAAACUUGUGAGUGCUUAUUUUGAGAGACGCAAUCAAUUAGAUUAAAAUUUGUAUAAGUAAUAUGUUGAAUCUUGAUGAUAAAACUAAAAUAUGUGUUUUGAGUAAUGUAGGAGUAGUUUUGAUCAGGAAGGCAAAUUGAUUAAAGUAGGAGGAAUCAAAUGUUAGGUCAGAGUCGAACAUGUCAGAAGAUUGAACGUCGAGUCGGAGAAUCGGUCGACAUGUUGGCAGAAUACUUCGGGCAUCGGGCCUAGAAGAGCGAAUAUUGCGCCAAGAAGAUCUGAGAUGCAGAGGUCAAUAAGCCGAUUGGGCAAAAGACCACAAAAGAUGACGGUGCGAUUGGACGAAGCAUUGAUGAACCAAUGACAUACCGGACAAUAUAGGAUUUGCUUGUAAUCGAUUAUGUCUAGAUCGAGUUAGUUUAGAGUCUAAUUGAGUCGAUUUAGAAUGUAAUUAGGUCAACUCAAUUGGGGGACUAAUUGGGCCUGAAUCAGGGCUGGAUUGGGCUUGUUGUUUGGCCCAUUAAGUGUAUUGUAGUAGGGUCUAGCGGUGGAACCACCCAGACUUAGUGGUGGUACCGUCUAUACAUAAUCUUCAAGGUUGUGUCAGGCGACGGUACCGCUAGAUUGGGCGGUGGUACUGCCUGAAUACAGUCUUCAAGAUUGUGUCAGGCGAUGGUACCGUCCAAACACAGUCUCCCAAACUGUGCUAAGUAUCGCUAGACUGAGCGGUGGUACCGCUAGUACCCGGGAUAAGACCUUUUUUUGCUCUAAGUUUGAAGUAUUUGAGGUCUAUAAAUACCCUAACUAUUCCUGCAUGGAGUAGUAAGAAUUAAGCACGAAAUUGAGUUAAAAAAGGGGGAAAGAAAAAUUGAAAACUCUCUUAGGAUUUAGAGUCCCUUCUUCCUAGCAUUUAGAAAGUUCUUCUAAAAGGAGACGUGAGGUCUAAGAAAGAAAGGUUAUAAGGAUUGUCUCAUAAACCCGUGAAAAGGAGAAAGAGUGUAAAAGGGUAGUUGAUCUUCGCCCAUUGAAGGAAGAUCGUUAGUGGAUGCCAGUGGCCUCGACGGAAGAGAAAUCGGCGGUGUGGAUGUAGGUCACGACGAUCGAACCACUAUAAAAAUCUGGUUUGCAUUUCUAUUUGUGCAAUUUACCUUACUGCAAACUUCCUUACUUGAUUUACUUUCUCAUUACACUCUUACGAAUGCUUUCAAGUUUAAUAUCUUUCCGAAAUGGGUUUAAUCGAAACAAAGAUUUUUGAACCGACGAUAUUUUUAUCAGCUACAUACUUCACCCCACCGCCCCGCCCCCUCUUUUAGUGCUGACUCAUUCCUAAUAGUUGGUAUUAGAGCUACGUUAUUUCUUGUGUGGUUUAACACCCAAGAGAAAUGACUCUUUUCGACUUUCAAGAGGGGUUUUCAAUCGUUCGUCCUCCCAUGUUCAAUGGGAUGGACUACACUUGUUGAAAAACUCGUAUAAGAGUUUUCUUGCUUUCUUUGUAUUUAAAUUUAUAGAGUAUUAUGAAAAACGGCUUUGAAUAGUCUUCUACUCCAAUGAAUGAAUGGAAUAAUUUAGAGAAGAAAAUUUUUUCUUUAAAUGCUAGAGCUAUGAAUGCUCUAUUUUGCGCCAUAGACAAAAAUGAAUUCAAUCGGGUUUCUACUUAUGAAAUGACUUGUGACAUUUAGCAGACACUCGAAAUCAUACAUAAAGGUACUAGUAGAGUUAAAGACUCUAAAAUAAAUAUUUUGAUGCGUGAUUUUGAAUUAUUUCGUAUGGAACCAAACGAGAUUAUUUGAGACAUGUACAUCCAUUUUACAGAUGUCGUCAAUAGUCUAAAAGCUCUUGGUAAAAGUUUUUCGAAUCUUGAACUUGUGAAUAAAGUUUUAUGAUCAAUUUCUAAAAAUUGAGAUUCGAAAGUAAUGACAAUACAAGAAUAAAAGAACUUGAACCAUUUUCUGAUUGAAGAACUGAUUGGGUUGUUGAUGACCUACGAAAUGAGGUGUAAGGCAUAUGAUGAACUUGAUGAACAUGAGAACAACCUUGCAAAUAAUAGGAAGGAUUUGACACUUCGAACAAUAAAAGACCACUCGAGCGAAAGCUCAAGUGAUGAUGACAUAGAACUCCUCACAAGUAAAUUUAUAAAAUUUAUAAAACAUGAAACUAAGAAUAAAAAUGAAAUUAAAAAGAAAAAACUAUCAAAGAACAAGAAAGCACUCAAGGUGACGUGGGAUGAAAUGAGUGCAUCCGAAGAUGAUGAGCAAACUGAUGAAGACGAAGUGGCAAACUUUGUUGAAUCUUAGAUUUUGAUGAUGAAGUCAAUUGUCAUUUGGUUAUCUAAUCCGUAUGUUGAGAUAAGUGUGUAAGAUUAACUACGAUGGCAGUAAGACAUGCAGUAGGUGUUAAGCCGGAGUCAAGACCAAGAUCACGUUGGGGGUUCGAGAGUUCGUCGGAAGUCCGGACAGUCGUCGAAGGUUCUGCAGGAAUAAUCCGAGAAGUCCAGGAGCAUCGCCGAGGGUUGUCUCCUAAGCCCAUCAAAAGGAGAAAAGCUGUAAAAGAGUGGUUGGCCUUCGCCUAUUGAAGGAAGGCCUCUAGUGGACGUCGGUGACCUCGUCGGAGGAGGAAGCCAAAAGUGGAUGUAGGUUAAGAUUGACCGAACCACUCUAAAUCUUGGUUUGCAUUUACAUUAUGUUCUUUAUCUUAACUGCAAAUUGCCUCCAUUGCUUUACAUCAACUAUACUUCCGUUUGCUCUCAAAUUAAAGAUCUUUCCGAAACGGUUUUCGUACGAAGUCUUUUUGAACCGAUGAAAGUUAUUCGCAGCACUAAUUCAACCCCCCCCCCCCCUCUUAGUGCUCUUGAUCCUAACAAUUGGUAUCAGAGCGGGUUCACUCUCAAUUGGAUUAAAACNNNNNNNNNNNNNNNNNNNNNNNNNNNNNNNNNNNNNNNNNNNNNNNNNNNNNNNNNNNNNNNNNNNNNNNNNNNNNNNNNNNNNNNNNNNNNNNNNNNNNNNNNNNNNNNNNNNNNNNNNNNNNNNNNNNNNNNNNNNNNNNNNNNNNNNNNNNNNNNNNNNNNNNNNNNNNNNNNNNNNNNNNNNNNNNNNNNNNNNNNNNNNNNNNNNNNNNNNNNNNNNNNNNNNNNNNNNNNNNNNNNNNNNNNNNNNNNNNNNNNNNNNNNNNNNNNNNNNNNNNNNNNNNNNNNNNNNNNNNNNNNNNNNNNNNNNNNNNNNNNNNNNNNNNNNNNNNNNNNNNNNNNNNNNNNNNNNNNNNNNNNNNNNNNNNNNNNNNNNNNNNNNNNNNNNNNNNNNNNNNNNNNNNNNNNNNNNNNNNNNNNNNNNNNNNNNNNNNNNNNNNNNNNNNNNNNNNNNNNNNNNNNNNNNNNNNNNNNNNNNNNNNNNNNNNNNNNNNNNNNNNNNNNNNNNNNNNNNNNNNNNNNNNNNNNNNNNNNNNNNNNNNNNNNNNNNNNNNNNNNNNNNNNNNNNNNNNNNNNNNNNNNNNNNNNNNNNNNNNNNNNNNNNNNNNNNNNNNNNNNNNNNNNNNNNNNNNNNNNNNNNNNNNNNNNNNNNNNNNNNNNNNNNNNNNNNNNNNNNNNNNNNNNNNNNNNNNNNNNNNNNNNNNNNNNNNNNNNNNNNNNNNNNNNNNNNNNNNNNNNNNNNNNNNNNNNNNNNNNNNNNNNNNNNNNNNNNNNNNNNNNNNNNNNNNNNNNNNNNNNNNNNNNNNNNNNNNNNNNNNNNNNNNNNNNNNNNNNNNNNNNNNNNNNNNGCAUGAGGACACCCUUCCAAAGAACAGAAAGGAUAUGACACUUAGAACUCAAGAAGACCACUUGAGAGAAAACUCAAGUGAUAAGGACUUUGACGAUGACUUGUCACUUCUAACAAGGAAAUUUAAAAAAAUUCAUUAAAAGAAAUAAAUUUAAAAAUGACACUAAAAAUAAAUUUGAACCUAAAAAGGACCAAGUUAUUUGCUACGAAUGCAAGAAGCCGGGACACUAUAAAAGUGAUUGUCCCCAAGCCAAGAAGAGAACACCAAAGAAGAAGGCGCUCAAAGUAACUUGGGAUGACUCAAGCGUAUCCGAAGAAGAGGGGUCCAACACCGAGCAAGUUGCUCAUUAUGUACUUAUGGCCAUUGGAGAGGAGGUAUCAAAUUUAAUUGAUGCAGAUUUAUCAUUUGAUGAAUUAUUAAAUGCUUUCCAUGAUUUAUUUGAUGAAUGCAAAACAAUUAAUAGAAAAUAUAAAUUGUUAAAAAAGGAGCAUGAUAUUCUUGUUAGUAAUUUUGAUAAAUUAAAAAUUAAAUAUAAUGAUAAUUUAGUUUCAUGUACGAAAUGUUAUGACUUAGAAGUACUCCAAAAGGAAAACUUGCUACUCAAUGACACCUUAAAGAAAUUCAAGGUUAGUAGCAAGUCCUUGAACAUGAUCCUUACCGAUAAGGGUUGCAUUCCUAAAAGAAGUGGAAUCGGAUUUGUGAGAAGCUCUCACCAAAAUCCAACCACUUUCAUUAAAGGCCCUAUCUUGCUUGUUUCGCACCAAAACAAGUGCAACUUUUGUUGCAAACAUGGACAUAGAACAUAUCAUUGUCCAUUCAAAAAGAUUAGUCCUAACAAAUUGAUUUGGGUUCCUAAAUGAACCGUAAUAAAUUCCAUGCAACAUGACAAAUAAUUUAGAUCGAUUUUUUAGGCACCCAAGAUUAAAUGGGUACAUAAAAAUCAUCCUUUUUUAUAGAAACAUAUAUCACCACAAGCUAGGAGCAAGAGAUGGUACCUUGAUAGUGGAUGCUCAAGGCCUAUGAUCAAGAGAUCCAAAAUGACUCAUAACGCUCUCUAGCUAAAAUGACAAAAAGAGGAUCAAUAAAAUUGAAACUAUCAAUUACAAAAUGAUACUGAUACAAUCCUGUUUGAUCCCUCAAAUUUUGAAACUCAUGAUUUCCCCUUCACACAUCCUCUGGAAUUCCAAAUUCAUCGGAUACAUUUCUUCAAUUUUUUUCGGAUCCAACUAUAUCUUACAAGAUCACGAACUUACGACUUGCAAGCCAAGUCUGCAUACAAAUCAUGAACUAUCAAGGCUUACAAGCUUGCAUAACAAGUCAUGAACAUAUUGAAAACUCUAUCAUAAACACAUUUGAGUAGAGUAUGCAUUUCACAAGAUCUAUCAUGAACGUACAAAAUUUUCUCAUCUUGUGAUGGAAACAUUUACAUAAUUAAGGUUGGCUGCUCCACAAAUAAAAACUCUCUUCAAAUUGAAAACACCCACAUCAGCCCAUACAGCCCUGAAAGUAGUGCUCACUACCUGUAGGCGAUGGCACCACCCAGCUGGCAGUAGCACCGCCGACUGUCACGGGUGGCAGGCGGUUGCACCGCCCAGCCAGCGGUGCCACCGCCCGCAACCUGCCCCUUUUUAAACCUGAGCUAGGGCCGGCGGUAGAACCGACCCCAACUCAUUCUCUUCUCCUCCUUGCAGCUCUAAACUCUCCAACUCUAUUCCUCCCCUUUAGCUACCCAAAAACUGCCUAUUUCCUACAAGAUCAAGAAUCAAUCCUACUUCCUCUUGAAGAUCUCAACUAAGGUAUUCUAAAAAAAAACCUUUGAUUUCUCUUUUGUUUGAUCUACUCUUGCUCAUUAUUUAUUUUCCUAAAUAGCAGUAUUUAUGGGUUCUAAAAGAUCCUCUAGGGACAAAGGAAAGAGGAGAUUUGAAGAAAACUUUGAUUCCACACAUUUUGAUUCAAAUCUACAUGCCGAAAAAUUUGCUUUCAUAGAAUUUAGAAAUGUUUAUAAGGGAAUGUAUGUUGAUCUAGAUGAACUAAGUGAUUUAGAGCCAAUUCAAUAGUUUGCAAAUCUAGAUCUUCUCCCAAUCCUACAAAUAAGUGAACCCAUCUACCCUAGACUUGUUAGGUUGUUUUAUAACAAUCUACAUGUAGAUGAAGAAGGGUGUCUACCUAUCUUUUAGGACAUCACAUAUCCAUUACGGAUAGAUCCCUUUACGACAUCAUAGGCAUCCCUGUAAAAGAUAGAGGUUGUUAUUGUUAGGAUCGGAGCGGCACUGAGAGGGGGGGGGGUGGGUGAAUUAGUGUAGCGGAUUAAAACGUUGGUUUCGACAAAUCUUUCAUACAAUAAAAACCGAACUUGAAAAGCUUAACUUGAACGCGUGUUCGUAAAGGUGUGUAGCAAAGGUAAUGAGGAAAUAAAGCACGUAAAAAGGUUUGCAGUAAUGUAAAUAGCAAUAAGAAAAUGCAAACCAGAGAUCAUGCCAAUUUUAAAGUGGUUCGGUCAAAUGACCUAAAUCCACUUGCGAUGUCCUCUUUGAUGAGGCUCCCACCUUCUACUAGCAAAUCUCUUGAAGGGGAAGGACAAAUACCCCUCUUACAACCUUUUACAAGCGGUUCACACUUACAAAUUUUCAGCAAGAAAGAAGGAGGUGAACACUCUAGCAAAUUGAAAACAAGACUUGUUAAGACUUUUCUAAGACAUUUUUCUCAAUCUAUUGCUUCUCAAAAAGUUGUUAUCUCAGCUAAGAAUUGAGGGGUAUUUAUAGGCCUCAAGAGGAUUCAAAUUUGGGCUCCAAAAUUUGAAUUCUCUUUGGUUCCCGAUGCUGGCGGUGCCACCGCCUGUCAAUGGCGGUGCCAUCGCCUGUCAAUGUCUGACACUGACAGUGUACUGGUGGUGCCACCGCCUGGCUCUCGGGUGCUGGGCGGUGCCAUCGCCUAGCUAAGCGGUGUCACCGCUUGGUUCUCAAGUUCUAGGUGGUGCCACCGCCUACACUAUUUCAACUCAUUGGUUGGGCUCCAAACUUGGCCCAAACCAGUCCGAACUCAGGCCCAAUUGGCCCCUACUUGAGUUAUAGGAUUAACAUCUAAUCCUAACCCUAAUUAACGUACUAACUAUGAAUUUAAAGACAUUUUCUAAGCUAUUACAAAGUCUGCAAGUCAAGACUUUUUCCGGUGAGCUCCGUCGAACUUCCGACUGUUUUCCGACGAACUCUCAGAAACCAUUCUACGGACUCCCGGUAAGCUCCUAGACUUCACGAUUUGAUCUUGGCGAGUUCCAAUGAGCUUCUUCAGCAAGCUCCGAUCUUUCUCGGCGAGCUCCGGAACUUCCAACAAACCUUCUGGCGAGAUUUCGAAAAACCCUUCGGCAAGCUCCCUACUCGUUCUCGGCUAGUUCCGACAGCAUUCCCGACGAACCUUCGGAGUUUCGUCGAACUCUCGAACUCACAACAAAUCCUUCGCGCUUGACUCCGACACUUUGUUUCGCUUUAUGUCUUCGUCGUUAUCUUAGUUAAUCCUGCACACACAAGCCAAAACUCUACUCCGAUCUAGAUAAUUAUUACAAAGCGAAUUGACAUUCUGUUGCCCGCCACGUCAUUAGUUGGCGCUUCGUUCGAUUCUUCGGUGCAUCGUCCUCUCUUGCGGCUUGUUGCCCAAUCGACGGUUGACCUCCACAACCCCGAUAUUCUUGGCGCAAUUCCGCUCUUGGCCCGAUGCCCGACGUCCGAAGCCUUCUGCCAUCCAAUAUCCUAACAUGAUCUCCUCCGGCGCAACAUCAAUUCCUCUUGCGUUAACUGUCUAAUCCUGAUCGAGUAGACCUGCAUCACUCAAAAUGCAGUUAAACAUCUAAACAUAAUCAAUUAGUUUCAUCAUCAAAAUCUAAGAUUCAAUAGUUAUUUUCAAGGACAAUAGGAUGAUGAAACGGUUGGGACCACGUAUGUUGAUGCCUUAGGAACAAUUUUCGGUAAUCCCAACUUAAUGGUACUUCCUAAAAGCUGUGAACAUCUAUUACCAUUAAACACCAAAAUACUUCAUCACAUCCUAAUUAAUAUCAUUCUUCCUAAAUAAUACCCUGAUGAAGUAAGUCAAAUGGAACUAGGAACUAUGUACUGGAUCAUGAAAGGAUUUAACAAUUGUUUUGGCUACCUUAUCCAACAAAACAUGAUAGAGAUAUCUAAAAAGGACAUGAUGCUUCCAUAUGGUGGCAUAAUCACUAGAAUACUUAAUGCCUACGAUAUUGCAAUGCCACCCGAUGAAGAGGUUAUAAAGGUAAAUAGAUUUAGCAUCAUAAAUAAAAAUCUACUUCGUCGAAUGAGAUGCAUAUUUAGAAAUGGUAUGUAGGUUAGAAUGCCUAGAAGAAUCGAUCCCCCUCAACCUGAAUCAGAAUCAGAAACACCAAUCUUUAGGGGUAACCAACCUCCUCCAACUGGUCCCUUUAAGGAAUCACACCAAAUUGAGCAAGCUCCUUCAUCAUCUAUCGAAGACAUAGAGAUUCGGAUGGAUCGCUUUGAAUAAAGACAAGAUCGGCUUGAACAUCGCCAAGAUCAAAUCUUAUAUGAGCUGCAGCAGAUUCAUCGACAGUUUGACACUUUAUUUAGACAUUUUAACUUUCCACCACCUGAGUGAGCAUAUGUAUGUAUUUAGAAAAGGUGGACACAAUUCCUUCUUGUCAUGUUGUAAAACUAUGUUGUUAUAAACCUUUUUAUGCUACUCACUUUGAUUGCAAUGCCACUUAAUUUGAUGAUUAAGUCCUUGAUAUGUUUAACUAUUAGUAUCUACGACUUAAUGUAUUAUUUGGUGAGCAUUUACAGAGUUAGAAAUAUUAAUGUUGAUUGAACUUCGUUUUCGAAUUUUCUUUAUUCUUUGAUCACUUAAAUUUCGUGCUGAAAAUUUUAUACAAAUUUGACAUAAUUGAAUGCUUCAAUAACAUGUUUACUUUAAAGUUAAAAAUUUUGUGCCUUGGUGCUAUAAGUUUCCACGAUGAGCAUAUUAUAUUCUCACUAUGAUUUGAGAAGGUUCAUUCAUACAUCGGAUUCUUAAUCUUUGAGUACUACAAAAUACUAAUAAUUUUGCUUCAUAAUUGUGAUUGAAAAACUAUGGCAAAACAUUAUCCGAAUGUAUGAAUUUGUUAAAUUUUAUUUUCGGACUUUCUUAAUUCUAUUAUCAAUCACUUAAUGCUGAAAAUCUUAUGAUACAAAUUUUGCAUGACUAUAUGCUUCAAUAACAUGUUGGAAAUUGUGUGUCUUGAUUUCCAUGAUGAUAAGCAUGUUUUACCCUCAUGAUUGUGUUUGAAAAGCUAUGGCAAAACUUUGUCCGAAUGCAUGAAUUUGUUAAACUUUAUUUUCGGACUUUCUUGAUCCUAACAAUGCAUGAUUUUGUAUUUCUCUUCUGGAUUAAAUGUAUUUCUUGAAUGGAGCUUUCAUGAGCCUAUGUCAUAUCAAGUUUAUUUCAUAUCAAUGCUCCAUGAUUUUUGACAUAUGAAAUUGAUUAACAAAUACAUCUCUCAUGGAUUUACCUUGUGAAAAUUGAUUUUUAAUCGAGAAAUAGAUUUGAUGAAAUGAAUUCCUUCUUGACGAAGGAAGACUUUUUUUUUAAAUGAACACUUGCAAGAAUUUAAUUUCACAUGUAUAUCUUGAUUCUUAUAAAAAUGAAGCUUGAUUUAAUCUCUUAUCAUUUUUAACUUCAUUCAAAGUUAGUUCACAAUAGCUUUUCUCCUUCAUGCAAAACGUUAAUGACAAAUAAGGAAGAAGUAAUGAAAGUUAUCUCUUUAAUGGACUUUUGAAUGAUACCAUGUCAUGAUUGUUUGAAAAAUAAUUUGUAUGAAUGGUAUCUUAUGAUUGAAAAAUAACAUAAAUCUUUACCACACUUAUUACUAUGCUUGAAAUAUGCUUGAAUCAUUCUCCUUUUUGUUGAUGACAAAGGGGGAGAAAUAUGUGAUAAAUUGAUGAUAGAAUGAAUUGAUAUGAUUGUCAUAUUUGCAUCAUGUAAAGAUAUCUAGAGUUUACAUCGCAAUCUUACAAAUUGGUAUCUUGACAUGUGAUGAAUUGUUACGAUUGCUAUCUUUCAAAUAUGAAAUAUAAGACUUAAAAAUGGAUGUCAAGCCUUGACAUCAUUUUCAGAAAAAUACAUCAUCAUAGGAAUUAUGAUGGGGGUAUUGAUAAGUUUAAAUAAACUUAACUUAUCAAUAUGUCUCUUGAAUUCAAAGGCUUUGAAUUUAAGAAUGACUUAUCUCAGGCAUAUAGAUAAAGGGAGUUAAGGUUAACUCCGUCAUCAAUUAAUUGUCAUCAUCAAAAAGGGGGGAGAUUGUUGAAUCUCAGAUUUUGAUGAUGAAGUUAAUUGUCAUUUAGUUAUCUAAUCCGUAUGUUGAGAUAAGUGUGCAAGAUUAACUACGAUGAUAGUAAGACAUGCAGUAGGUGUUAAGCCAGAGUCAAGACCAAGAUCACAUUAGGGGUUUGAGAGUUCGUCGGAAGUCCAAACGAUCGUCGGAAGUUCUGCGGGAACAAUCCGAGAAGUCCAUAGCUUGCCAAAGAAGCUCGUCGAAACUCGCCAAGAGGAUCAUCGCAAGUCCAGGAGUUUGCCGGGAGUCCACCGGAGCAUCGUCGAGGGUUCGUCAGAUGUUCACCGGAAGCUCGCCAAAAGAAGCGAUUAACGCACCGAAACAUGAUCUGCAGUAUUGAUGUCUUAAUUAUCGUAGUUAGCAUGUAGAUUAAGUUAGAUUGGGAGUUGAUCCCAUUAACUUAAUCUGGGGGCCAAUUGGGCCCUCGGUAGACCCAAAUUGGGUCGAAUGGAUCAGCCCAUUCGGACCCAGAAUUCCUGGUCGGUAGUGGCACCGCCCAGGAGACUCGGUCUCCUAGGAGUUCUAGGCGGUAGUAUUGCCCCUGUCAGGCGGUGGUACCGCCGACAGUUAUUACUACCAACGGUGGUACCGCCCUUAUCAGGCGGUGGUACCGCCUGAGCUUGGUCUCCGAGCGAUGUCAGGCGGUACUACCGCCCAGACUAAGUGGUAGUACCACUCAGUGACAGAUGACAGGCGGUAGUACCGCCCAGUUAUGGCGGUGGUACCGUUAGGACCCCGGAAAUCCGGGAAUGGACACUUUUGAGCUCCGAAUUCAAACUGAUUGGGGCCUAUAUAAACCUCACCCUUUCCUGCAUGAAAGGGCAACGAAAGCUUGCUUUUAUUCUGAGUAUUUGAGAGCUUAAAAGUAUUGUAAAAGGCUAGAGUUCCUCUCCCUCUUUUCUUUUUAAGUCUCGAUCAUUCAAGAGAGGAGUGAAAACUUGUAAGGGUUGUCUCCUAAGCCCGUCAAAAGGAGAAAAGCUAUAAAUGGGUGGUUGGUCUUCUCCUAUUGAAGGAAGGCCUUUAGUGGAUGUUGGUGAUCUCGUCGGAGGAGGAAGCCAAAAGUGGAUGUAGGUCAAGAUUGACCGAACCACUCUAAAUCUUGGUUUGCAUUUACAUUCUGCUCUUUAUCUUAACUGCAAACUGCCUCCGUUGCUUUACAUCAACUAUACUUCCGUUUGCUCUCAAGUUAAAGAACUUUCCAUUUUUGUACGAAGUCUUUUUGAACCGACAAAAGUUUUCUAUUGCAUUAAUUCACCCCCCUCCUCUUAGUGCUCUUGAUCGUAAUAAACUACUUCACUUUGGUGACUCUCAACAAUGAGGUGAACAACUCAAACGAAACUCUUUUAAUUUAUUUUGAAAUUACUUGAUGCAUUUCAUAUAUUAUUUUUAAAUUAGUAUAUAAAAUAUAAUAAAUAAAUAAAUAAAAGGGGAUUAUGCUUUUUUUUCUAGCUAAUUUUGAAAAUGAUAAUGACAAUUGCAUGUUUUAUAAAAAUAUAAUAAAAUAUUAUAUUUAAAAUUAUUAAUCCUAUGUGUAUUUUUAAGAAAAAAUAAUGUGUAUGUAAAUUGAUGAUUUUCGAUUUUGAGUGAAAAUAUCUUAUGUUCAAUGAAAUCAUGCUUUAAUGACAUAAUGAUGUAAAAUAUAAUGAAAAUGUUAAAAGAUUUUGUAUCAUGCUUGAUGAUUUUAUAUUAUGCAUGAAGAUUUGAAGUAAUGAUAUGAAAUUAUAUGUUUUGGAAUUAUGUGUUAUAUUUUUUUAUCUUGAUUAUUUUUGUGAUAAAUCUUGCUCUUUUCCGUUUUAAACGAUGAUGCAUGUUUUGAUUUGGCAUUUUAAAAAAAAAACUUGGGCUUGCUUGUAAUAAAGCAAACCACAUAAAUUGAAACAACUAAAAAGGGAAUGCAUUUGAAAAUUUCUCUAUCUCUAUCUUAUCGGUUUUUCAAUAAGAAAUUAAUAAAUCUAUUUAUGUUAUGAAUCUUAUGAACCAUGAAAGUAAUUUUGAUGAUUUAAAUUUAAUGAGUUUUAUCGAAAUCUUGAUCUUGACUUCUCGAGAUUUAUAACUUGAAAUCAUUUAUGAAUCAAGAUCUCUUAUGUGUUCUUGUAUCAUUCCUUCUUAUUGAGAUUUAUCUAAAUGAAUCAUUCACUAAUUGAUCUUUCAUCUUUCAUGUCAUGUUUUUUUUAUAAUUACCUUUGUAUUUAUGUGAAAAUUAGUGUCACAUCCCGGAUUUAUAAAAAGAAUAAUAAAUCAAUAAUUUAUUAUUCAUAAUUUACAUAAUAAACCCUCUCCUUUUUUUUAAAUUCAAAUCAUUGUAUUUACAAUAAUAAAUAUUUUAUUAACUAAAAAAUGACUAUAUCUUCUUAGUAGGGUCACAAGUUUCUUCCACGUAAGCUUUAAAUCUAUUACAUAAUAGUAGAUUACUCUGAAAAUAAAUAUAAGAUAAAAAUAUAUCAACAACCACACAUGUUGGUAGGAACCUCAAAAAAAUUAUAAAAAUAAUCUUUAAUAUUUAUUAAAUAUAAAUAAAUAUCAAUAAUUCAAUAAGAAAAUAUAUCGAUUCAUCAUAAAACUUAUGCACAAAAAAACGAUGAUAAUUUUUUACAUAAUAAACAAAAUCAUGCAUCAGCCACAUGCAACACAUCAUAAUAACCAUAUAACAAAGGCGUACAUCACACCCGAUGGUGCACUCUCCCAACAGCGGAUGAAGAGACAUACUCCACUGGAUGGAUUCCUCCCAACAGCGGAUAGAGAUAAUCCAUAUCGCACUCCCAACAGCGGAUGAAGUAGUAUCCCUCACCCGCCCAAGUGGAGACACGUUCCUCCCAACAACGUAUGGAGGAACCGUCUAACCAUCACGUCUAAUGGCCCGCUAAUCCCCGAAGGAACUUGUCAUACCUGCCCUCGGUAAUGAUACAUAAACAUCCAUGAUCAUUCAUUACACUCAUCCAUUCACUCACACAUACAUCAAGAAAUUAAUAUGAUUAAAUAUUAUGAGAGACCAUACUUGAUAUAAAUAUGCUAGACUGUGUUCAUUAGUGGCUCCGCACUAUGAUGGGCCAGUAGCUCCUUCCAUAGGUUACACCCUCAAUGUGAACUACUAGUCUAGUCACAUCUACUACAUGAUACUCAUCAUAUCAAUAUCAUAAACAUAAGAAAAUAGAAAACCAAUAAUCAUUUUUAAAUGACAUCUUCAGAUAAAAUCUUUAAAUUCAUCAAAUCAUAAAAGCAUGAAACAUCAAUCUUUCAAUAGUCCUCAAUCAACCAAAACCCUAAUUGGAAUAGCUCAAUUGACUUAAACCAAGCUUAAUUCAAUUAUGAUCUAAUAGAACCAACCUUAAAUCCUUAUAGAACCGAUCUGGAAUCACCCUAGAUUGGUCUAAUUUAGAUUUGAUUGAUCUCGAUUAGGUCAAGUAGAUUUGAAUUAGUCAAGUUAGUUUGGAAUCACCAUAAACUAGCUUUAACUGAUCAAACUUGUCUGAUUUAGUCAAUUAAUGAGCUCAAACUAACAGAGAUGGAGGAAAUUGGACUAUGUCGUAUAGUGCUAAUCCAAACCGAACCAACCCACUUGAGUCUUGGACGGGUCAUAUAUAUUACAUAUACUUGUUCCAAGAAAUAUGUUGAGUUGAGAUAUGAUAGGCUAUAUAAAAGGAGUGACGAUAUGUCUAAUGCCAAUCGCGUAGCUGGGCAGGCUUAAUUUCAUGGAUUAGGCUAAGCCUCAAUUAUAAGUUGGGCUGAGCCUUACCAUUGAACUAGGUUAUGCUUGGAUCGUGAGUUGGUCCUAGACACAUAAGUUGGAGUCGUAUCUGAUCACAUGGACUAGAUCGUACCUAGCCGCAUGAGCUAGCUCAAGCUUGGCCACAUGGUUGGAUCGUACCUUACUAUAUGAGUUGGAUCAUACAUGGCCACAUAGACUUAAUCGUACUUAACCACAUGUGCUGGCCCAUGCCUAGCCACAUGGUUGGGUCAUACCUUACCACAUGGGAUGGGUCAUACAUGGCCACAUGGACUAGAUCAUACUUAAUCACAUGGGUUGGGUCAUGCCUAGCCACAUGGGUUGGGUCGUACCUUGCCAUAUGGGCUGGCUCUUACCCGGCCAUAUAAGUUGGGUCAUGCCGAGUCAUUUGGGCUAGGUUAUACUUGGUCAUAUAAGCUAGGUCAUACAUGACCACAUGGUCUGAGUUGAUUCGAUCUGAUCGAUCAACUUGACUCAAGUCAGACCCCAAUUAGACUCCUUUUAUCAAAUUAGAUUUUAAUAUUUAAAAUUAUUAAAUAAUGACUCAAAUACAUUAAUUAAAACUUUAAAUUCAUGAUCUUAAAUUUAAAAUUAAUUACAUUAUAGAAAUUCAUACAUAAUUCUUGAAACAUAAAUAUAUCUAAUUAAAUAAAUUUGAACUAUUAUGCUAAUUCAAAAAUAAGAAUUUUAAUAAUUAAAUCAAUAUUAAAAUUCACUUAAGCUUAAGAGAUCAAUAUAAAUCAAAUAAUCAUUCUAACAUCAUAAAUCAAUUAUUAUUAUUUACUAAUCAUAAACUUUUGAAAUUAAAACAUCAUCAUGCAUUAUAAAAUUAUAACAAUCUCAACAUCAAGAUUUCAAAAUAUAAAUCAAAGCUAAUUAAAAAAAAAGAUUCUACCUCUCUUCGACUAUCCUUCCUCAAUAUCAAUCCUCUCAUUAUUAGGCUUGGCGAGGAAUGAGAGAGAAUUAGCCCCCUUUAUAUAUGAGAAGAUAAGAUCUCCCCAAAAGGUAAGUAAUAAUUUAAUUUUUAUUUUUAAUUUAUUUUUUUUUCUUUCACACACCAAGAAAGUAAUAUAAUAUUUAUUUCUUAUAAUUCGCACACAAAAAUGGAAUGUAAACUAUUUAUUUCCUAAAUAUCAAAUCACUCAUUAGGAAAUAAAUUAAUUAAUAAUUUAAUUGAUUAGUAGAAUUCCUAACUUAUCCAUAUGAUUAAGGAAAAUAAAUUUAAUUAUUUCCUUAACUAUAGUACACAAAUAUAGAAGUUAAUAAUAAAGUAAUACAUCAUUUAUAGUAAUUAAUUUAUGUUAAGGGAGAAAUUAUCGUGAUUACACUUAGAGCAUUGAUGUAAGAAGGAAAUAAAUUGCACCAUUAUAAAAUUAUGCUCUUUUUUAUUUACAAUAAAAAAGGGGAGAGAAAAAAAAUCACUAGCAUCUCAAGAGAUCGAUAAAUCUAUUUAUAUUCUUUAUGAAUUUCUUAAAAAUGAUUUUGAUGAUUUGAUGAUUUGAAUGACUCUUAUUUAUAAUAUGAUCUUGAAUUCUUAUAAUCAAAACUUGAUAUUUUCUUCAUGUAAAUCAAGACCCCUCACAUUUUAUUCUCGAAUGAUUUUUUAUAUUUUAUGAAAGAGAAUAUUUAUCAAAAUGAAUCAUGUCUUUUGGUAUUCAUAUGUUCUUAUCUUUCAUGAUAUGAUUUUUACUAUGCAAGUAUAUCUCAUCACCAAUUUUUUCUUAAUAUCUUCACUUGAAUAUUUACACAUUUGUGCUAUUCCCCUCUUUUUGCCUAUGAGAAAAUAAAAUGAUGAAUGUUUUGUACCAAUAAUCACGAAGUGACAAAUGCUUAAAAAAUAUUGAUUUAAUGUUUGGUAUCAUGAAUGCUUUAGUAUCAUGUAUGAGAGAAAUGAUAAAUAUUUGAUAUCAUGAUCAAAAUGUUGAUUUAAUGCAUGAAGUGAUAAAUGCUUAAAAAUUUUAAUAUCUUAGUAUCUUGUAUUAUAUACUCAUAGUGAUGAUUUAUUUAUUUUUGGUAUCAUACAUGAAGCAAGGAUGAAAGUAAUGGUUUGAAAUUAUGCAUGUUAUAUAUUGAAAACUUAAAACCAUGUUUUGGUAUCAUGCAUACCCAAGUAAUAUUGCUUUGAAAAUUAUUAUAAAGGGAAAAAGAAUUACAAAAUUAUAUUCUUCCCUUCUUUUUGACAAUGACAAAAGGGGAGAUAAAAUAUGCUAGCUUGCAUGAUGAUAUAUGCAAGAAGAAGCUAAAACAUGCUAUCUUGCAUAUCUCAAGAGAGGCAAUACUCGUGAUGCAUUGAUAUCUCAAAAAGUUACUAGUUUGCACAUCAUAAAGAGAAGCAAAAAAGCUUGCUCGUUUUUUUAAGAUGUAAAAAUUUUGAAAAAAACUUGUUAACUUGAUAAAUGCAAUUAUUUAAAAUUUUAUCUAAAAAACUUAUUAAAUACACUUCUCUUUUAUGUUGAUGACAAAGGGGGAGAAGAUGUGAUAAUGAGUUGAAUCAUGCAUGGUAGGAUGCAAUAGGCUUUGAUAUUUUGAUACCAUGAUGAUACUUAUGAUAAUGAUCAUGUAUAUGAUGCAUACAAUACUAAUGAUUUUAUUAUGAUGGUGUAUAUGAUGUAUUGUAUAUGAUGUUGAUGAUGAAACCAAUUAAUAAUGUUAUGAUAUAAUCUAUGUUUUGAGUGACGUAGGACUAGCUUCGAUCAGGAGAGGCAAAUUGAUUGAAGUAGGAGGAAUCAAAUGUUGGGCUGGAGUGGAACAUAUCAGAAGAUUGGACAUCGAGCCAGAGGAUCGAUCGACGUGUCGGCAAAAGGCUUCGUGCCAUGAGUUCAAGCAUCGGGCUUAAAAGAGCGGAUAUUGCGCCAAGAAGAUCGGAAUUGCAGAGGUCAACAAGUCGAUCGGGCAAAAGGCCGCAAAAGACAAUGAUGCGCCGAAGGAUUGGAUAAAGCACCAAUGAACUAAUGACAUGCCAAACAAUAUAGGAUUCGCUUGUAAUCGAUUAUGUCUAGAUCGAGUUAAUUUAGAGUCUAAUUAAGUCGGUUUAGAAUAUAAUUAGGGGGCUAAUUGGGCCUGAACCAUAGCUGAAUUGGGCUUGUUGUUUGGCACAUUCAGUAUACUAUAGCAGGGUUUGGCGAUGGUAUCGCUCAGACUUGACGGUGGUACUACCUAGACACAAUCUUCAAGAUUACCGCCUGACACAGUCUUUUGACAUGUGGUAUCGCUCAGACUUGACGGUGGUACUAUCCAAACUGUGUCAGGCGGUCGUACCGCCUAGUGUUAGUUCUGCAGGCGAUGGUACCACCCAACAUGCCCAGCACAAGCAAUGGUACCGCCCAGCACAGGCGGUGGUACCACCAAUACUCGGGAAAUCCAGAAUGAGAUCUUUUUUAGCUCCAAGUUUGAAGUCAUUUGGGGUCUAUAAAUACCCUAGCUAUUCCUGUAUGGAGUAGCAAGAAUUGAGCACAAAAUUUAGUUGAAAAAGGGGGAAAGAAAAAUUGAAAAACUCUCUUAGGAUUUAGAGUCCCUUCUUCCUAGUAUUUAGAAAGUUCUUUUAAAGGGAGAAGUGAGGUCUAAGAAAGAGAGGUCGUAAGGGUUUUCUCCUAAACCCAUGAAAAGAAGAAAGAGUGUAAAAGGGUAGUUGAUCUUCGUCCAUUAAAGGAAGAUCAUUAAUAUCUUUCCGAAACGGGUUUAAUCGAAACGAAGAUUUUUGAACCGAUGAUGUUUUUAUCUGCUACAUUAAUUCACCUCCCUCCCCUGUUAGUGCCUACUCGUUCCUAACAUAAUAUUCAUAAGAAUCCAAAAGUGUUUAGCUAUCUUAAUUAAUAAAUAAUUCUUGUAUAUUAUCAAAAUUUGUAAGUGCUUAUUUUGAGAGACACAAUUAAGUAGAUUAAAUUUUGUAUAAUUAAUAUUCUUAAGAAUCCAAAAGUGUUUAGCUAUCUUAAUUGAAAAAUAAUUCUUACAUGUUAUCGAUCAAAACUUAUGAGUUCAUGUUUUGAGAGACACAAUCAAUUAGAUUAAAAUUUGUGUAAGUAAUGUUCAUAAGAAUCCAAAAAUAUUUAGCUAUUUUAAUUAAUAAAUAAUUCUUGGAUGUUGUCUAUCAAAACUUGGGAGUGCUAGUUUUGAGAGACACAAUCAAUUAGAUUAAAUUUUGUGCAAGUAAUAUUCAUAAGAAUCCAAAAAUGGUUUGCUAUCAUAAUUGAUAAAUAAUUCUUGCAUGUUGUCGAUGGAAACUUGUGAGUGCUUGUUUUGAGAGACACAAUCGAUUAAAUUUUGUGCAAGUAAUAUUCUUAAGAAUCCAAAGUGUUCAGCUAUCUUAAUUGAUAAAUAAUUCAUUGCAAUGUCCUAAAUUGGAAUCUUAGUUAUUAGUUCGACGAAAAAAAUCUUGAAAUAAUUGGAAAAGAUCAGUUAACAAAUUCUUGGAAUGAACCCUUUGUCAAAAAAAAAGAAAAGAAAAAGGAAGAUCUUAAUUAAAUCAUAAGAAAGAGAUCAUGUGAUAUUGCUUUUAAGAACUUCCAACUUAAAUAAACCCUUUGUAUGUAUGUAUACUCACUCAAUAUGGGGUUUCAGAUUCCAGCAAAUCACAAACUUCCAAAUUAAAUGGAUCCUUUAUAUGUAUGUAUACUCGAUUUUGGGCAGCCAAUCAUAAACAAGAGAGACUGUAUGUACUAUGAAUCAUCUGGUGAUGCAAUUUAGGACCACUGGUUAAAAACCAUAUACCCAACCAACCCCUGGUAAGUAAAAUUGACACUGAAAACAUUUCAGAUUUUUCUUGCAAUGGAUAGGAGGAAUCAUAAGGCACUCUCGAAGAAAGAAAUGUUCAUGACAAUUGUGGUGUCACAGUGCAGUCCCUUUAAUACUAUCUAUCACUCUGGGACCAGUGAUGGAUGGGACCUACCACCACCAUUUCCCUUUGACCUGUGUCCUAAAUGUACAGCCUGAAACCCACCACCACAACAUGAAUGAUGUCAUUCGAGCUGCCCUCGUCUCACCUUCUCUCAUCCAAAAACACCCAGUAAGAUGCAGAUGGAAAGAACUUUCUCCGAGCCAUAAAUACUGUUAUUGUGUGUCCAUCGGCAAGUCGGGGAAAGCUGUUCCCGUUUCUAGGAAGGACCAGCAGGAGGAGACCGGGUGAUGUCGGCAAUCAUCUUCAGUGAAACACAAGGCUGGUCCACCGGCACCUGCACAAAAGUAGAGGUCUCACCACUGUUUCAAUGGUUAGAAUGAUCUCAGCAUCGUUUCCGAGGUGUACUCAGGAAAAAGUUGUGGUCUGUCCUUGCAUGCUGUUCCUCCUCGACGGACUUCCCACUCCCAACAAUUGUAGGAAGUGAUCGGUCUCACAUGUUAGAGAGUGUGAACGUCGAAUUCACCGACCGACUGCUCAGCCUUAAAGAUCAGAACAGGAUGCCUUUCUAAGAUAAAGCAUCCGACUUGCAGCCGGGGACACCAUGGUCGAGUGGAAGAUUACCACGAGCGACCAAGAAGAAAGGCCAAGGCCAAAGGCCAGCACAGCAGAAAAUGAUACAUGCAGAUUGCAGAGACCAGUACAAAAGAUCUUGGACUGUUUUCUUCGGAGACAUGGUGGUGAUCGUUCAUGGUGUGCUUCCUCAUGGAUGCUUACUCUUUUUCUUCUGGACACAAAAUAUACAUCCUUUUGGUUCAUUCCAUAAAUGCAUUGAUCUUGCAAUUUCGGUGAUUGAUCAGUGCUGUCAAACAUGUUCAUAUGCUCACUCUGAGGUGAAAGUGGGUGUGGUCUCAGUUACAUCACGAGAAGAGGCCAACAUGUUGUAAAGUGAAGAACUAUAAAUCAAUCUAUAAUGUUUCUCCUGAUCUUGUUUUGCUUUCAUGGAUGGUAAUAUUUUUGGUGCACAUCAAAAUACCAACCCUUGUGAUUUCUACGGUAAGACUUUUUUCUUUUUUCUCCUUUCUUCAGUGAUUGUUGUUGUUGUUGUUGUUGUUUUCAACUAGGAACUAACUAUUCCUAGCAAAUAAAAAUGGUGAUGAUGAAUGAAGAACACUCACAAAAUGCCCUGCUCCGAGGAUCCAGUAGAAGUGCAAGUUCUGAUAAGAUUUAAGGAAGCCUUUGGUGACUCCCACUUCCUCGCUGCUGCAGUAUAUAGGCUUUCUAUCCAUGCUGUUAAAGUUCUUCAGCCCAUCCCAUCUGAACAACAACAAAAAAAUAAAAAUAAGGUAUACAUUUUUCGAGGUGGAAAUCAUCGGAGAAAAGAGGAAGGAUUACAAGUGGUUUAGGAUGCUCACUUGAGCUUCUGAACCCAUGCUUCAGUGCCCUUGGUUGCACAAAUCAGAUCAACCUUCACAAAGAGGAAGAACCCACCAACAUACAUCAGUCACAAGAAAAUAUUACAGUUUCUUUUUCUUCUUCUUCUUCUUCUUCUUCUUCUUCUAUUUCUUCUUCUUCUUCUUCUUGGAAAAAUAAGGCUGGUUUGAUAUUGACAAAAUGAACAGAUACAGAUUGCUUUUCAUGGACUUUUUUUUUUUUUUUUUUUUUAUAGAUGGAAAAAAAGAAAAAAGAUGACUACAGUUGACCUAACUUCAGUACUAGUGACAUAUCAUUUUGAUUUGAAUCAUUGAACAAAGUCCAAUUUGUGGGACCCAUGAAUUGCUGUUGGCUACUACUGUUGAGAAUUCUUACUCAUCAAUCAAUAAACUCGGGGUUAGUUUCUAUUAUAAUCAUACCAAAGGGUGUACGUACCCCCUUACCUUCCUUCCUUCCGUGGGAGGAGUCCGUCGACGUAGAAUCUGGAUAGGGUUGGUUGAUGUACUCAUCCUUACCUUUUUUAUAACCAAAGGGAAGAGGGUGUACCCCUUCCUUCCUUCCUUCCUUCCUUCCUUCCUUCGUGGUGAGGAUUCCUAUUACAAGUUCCACGUCUAUGUCGAGCACUAGUGUCUUUGGCAAGCACAAAAAACCAGAAGAGGUUUGUCUUCCGCCUGCCUUGUCUCUCUCCAUCUUUCUUCGGCUAUUACAAUUUCUCUUGCGCUUGACCUAAGGUUGCUUGUUCUCUAUGCAUCUGAUGAUGUUGAACUACGGCCCUGCAUUCAUGGCUACGGUACAGGACAAGAAAAUACCGAUACCUUAUGUUAAGUAGAAAAAGAGUACCAGCCAGCCAGCCAGCCAGCCAGCCACAUUCACUACAUCUUUUAGCUUACUCCAAAACAGAUUGUAUCUUAUUUGCGCAACCGACAAAUUCAUGUGUGUGUAGAGUGUCUCUUCUGCAGAGAAAGAAACAAAGAGAGCUUCAUAAAUUGGUCAAUCAAGACAUUGUACUUCCCCCCCUAAACAACAUCAUCAGAUUUCAGUGUUCUUCAGGACAAACUGCUAAACGUAGCUUGACAUGCUGUAAACUUAGUUGUGCUGUUAGUAUGGUUUGGUACCAGUAGAAGAUCAUGUAAAAUCUUCUUAGACCUCUCUCUAACUUGUUUUGUUUGACCACAGUAUUUAUAGGUCUUCUUUCAACAUGCCUACAUCAAUAUUUCACUCUAAUAAUCUUUCACUCUGGUAAUUAAUGAAUGGUCUUCGACCUGGUACAUCUCAACCAGUGUUUAACCUGCAACCUAUGUCGGCCACAUUUGGUUUUGUUCAAGUUGGAAUCAUCCUCUACGAAAUUGGCCAAACAGAAGAGUUCCAGUAGAAGAUGACAACCAGAAGCAUGCAGGGAACACAAAAGGCAUUCACUUUGUUCGGCCCACAAAAAAGUAUCUAGAACUAUGUUUAACCACAUCAGUGUGUUUCUAUCCACCUCUAAUUGGCCCCAUUACAGCAACCGGAGGGUUCAAUGGAUAUCAGUAUCUCAUGUUGGAUCCAAGUAGACCAGGUUGAGCUUUUUUGUUUUUAGGAUCACUAAGUGAACACCAAAAUGUAAUGAGGAAAUGGCGUGUUAUGCAUCCAUACCUGUCCAUUAUAGAUGGUGACAUUGAUUCCCAGGGAAAGGAGCUCAUCAACCUGUGGCAGUAGUUAGCAUGCAAAGGAACAUGAUUAAUCUGUGUAGUUGCCGCAGAAUCUAGUUUAAUGGUAUAAUAAGGCUACCUCAUUGAUUCUUGGCUUCAUGAAAUCAUUCGAGAGUGAAUCAAAGACGAGGCCAGAUUGCCCUCCCCAGCUGUUCAGCAAACUUAGUCCAAGAGAAUUGAUUGUCUGUUUUCCUCGGAAUCGAUCGUAAAAUGAAAUGACAUACCUAACAUUCUUUGGAAUGAUCUUCAGCUUUUCCUUGAUCAAACCAUUCAUGAGACCUGAAAUGUCAGGAGAGGUGGAAGCCUUUGAGCUCAGGUAGGUCGGGUACAUCUUCAAUGAUAGCUUCCGCGAUGCUUCAGCUGCUGCUGUCAGUGAAACUGGAUCGCUCCCAGAAUCCAACAAGAAGUUGUAGAAAUCCUGGAAAUGUGUUUGAGUAGUAGUGAUUAGAAUGAACUGAUCUCCGUGAUUUCGGGAUCGAAGACUACUUACGACAUCGUUACUGCUUGUGACAAUGAACUCCUCCAGCUCGCCCCAUGAGUUCGUGGCAUCACUGUACUGCUCCUUCUUUAUCUCUUCUCUGAUCUUCUCGGCCAUGCUGAUAUGUAAUACACGCCAGAAUUAGAUGGUUUCUGCCGCAGGUAGGCAAUUCUGAUGGCUAGAGAGAGAGAGAGAGACUACAUGCUUGAUUUCUCUGCAUCUAUGAUGUCAAUUCUUGAGAGAUCGAGAAGCAGAGGCGCCCACGAUAGCUGCAUGCGUGAAGUUACGAGAAGCAGAUCAUGAAUGGCAUCCAAAAUGGUCGUAGAAAGCUGUGAAAACUUGCCACGAAAUCUUCAGGUGAGAUCCAGCUAUCUCCCAAUGCAACACCUGCUUGCACACAUCAACUCGAUCACAGAUCGGAUCUGUCCUGAUCUUUCAGGGAAGGUGGAGGAGGAUGAGAGAGUGAGAGAGGUACCUCCGAGGUUGAGCUUCAAUUCUCCAACCCUGAUGGCUUGGGCGAUCGACAAGCCUGCGGUCACGGCGAACUUUCCUCCGUAAGACUCUGCCACGAUGAACAGUGGGCUGUUCUGCCAUGACGACGCCUGCUCAUGGUAGAGAUUCUUCAGAAGGGUGGUCAGAUCCGCGGCUGCCUCCCAAUCACUCUUCACGAAGAGGCUCUCGUCCUCCACAAAACUGUAUCCCGUGCCCACCGGAUUGUCCUGCGAUUCCCAAGGAUCCGAUGGAAGUCACAGCAGCUCAAUGAUCGUUGGGAAUGACGGGAGGCUCACCACAAAGAGAAGGUCGGCCUUCUGCAGCCAUGUCGUACACCGAGGCUGUAGAUUGGCAUCCACGGGCCCAAUCUCCUGGAAGUUACCGAUCCCGACGCCCGAGCCGCCCUUGCGUAAUGCAAACCGAACGUAAGAAGCAGAGUUGGCAUCACGAAGCAGGGGUGGUUGAGAAGAGGCUUACAGGUCCUCCCUGCAACCACAGCACGGUCGGCCAUGGAGCGGAACCGUUGUCGACUCGUUGCGGGCUCCGGUAAAGCCACCAGAACAUGUGCGCUCCUGCGCAUGCAAACGAGUAGCAUUACUUAAGCUCCAUAGGGUGAGAUGAGGUAGGAGACUGACGCGCCUGGGUUGGGAGGCGGAGAUAGAAGGAUUACUCGGUCGGACUUGGACGUAACCCCACUCCUCGGAUCCAUCGGCGGUGCGGGCGGCAUCGACCAGGAGAAGAGAGAGAGAAGAAGAGAAGAAGAGGAGGAGGAGGAGGAGGAGGGGAGAGAUUGGCAUGAGGGAGGAAGGAAAGGAAGGGCAGGGGGAGACACAGGGCUGGGCGAUGUGAGAUGGACAGAGGGAAUUGGGUGGGUGGGGGGAAGGGGGAGGGACGGGGGUAUGGGAUGCACACAGGUAAGGCAGCGGUAGAAGGGCACGGGGAAACUUAAUGCAGGUAGAAGGCGUGUGGAGCGGGAAAAGUGUGCACGUCCCUCCGGGAGUUGGGACGGAGGAUUGCCUUUGUGUUUUUUUUUUUUAAACUCACCACGCCACCCCGAGGAAUUUUUACUGCAAAUAUAAAUAUUUGGUUAGAUGGCAGCAAUCAUUAAUGAAAUGAUGUUUAGAUAAACACUAACAAGACAUGAAUUAUUCUUUUGGGUUUUAUUUAUUAUUUUAUUAUUACCCACCGACUCACUCGUUUACGAUUAUUAUGAAUUCACUAUCACCAAGUAAACUUUUCUCUAAGAAUAAUAACCAACAAAAAACAUUUGAGAACCUUUUCAGUUCCCCGAAAACAGCGCAAGCCAUCAGAUUCACUCGAAAUUAUGAGCCGCUUAAAUUUCGAAUUCCCUGUAAUUUAAUAGGAACAAACAAAAAUAAAAACGAAAAGAAAAUGAGAACAAUGGAAGGCUGAUGUUUACUAUUGUUCACCACAGUGGCCAGUUGAUUUGGAUCACCAAACUUGUUGAUGAAAAAAAAAAAAAAAAAAAAAAAGGAAACAACACAAAAAACAUAUAAAUUACCAUUUAACUGGUUGGUAUAGGUCAAACCUAAGCCUCACAAUAGAGCUUACAGAAUAAUCACUCCGGCGAACCACCGUUUAGCCUCUGACUGCUUCUUUCUUCGUCCUUUAAAGAAAACAAGGAAUACAUUUGUUGGACAACAAGCGUUGAUCUAGCCCAUCAAGGAUGAAGAUGCAAUUACUGGCCACGGCUCUCAUUUUGAUGAACCACGGCCAGGAAACAGGUAGUCUUGAUCCUGUUGGUCACGCUGCUGCGAAUGACGGAUGUAAGGAGGACCGGGGAGGACUGGCUGAUGAUAUGAUCCAUAACCUCGUUGAGAAGCAAAUGGGUUUUGUUGUAGGGGAGGUGACCCAUAACCAGCUCCGAGAGAAGCAACCGGACGUUGUCGGUGAUGGUGGUAUGGCGUGAAAGCUGGUUGAGGGGAACCAAAGAUGAGACCUGGCCUGUAUAUUCCAUAACUAGUAGCCUGUGAUUGAAGUGCAGCCAAGGGAUUUGGAGUCUGAUAGCGAGCAUGGUCUGGUGCUCGCGUAGGUUCCAGGUACCUUGGCCUCUUCGAGGUCAUAGGCUUAACUGAAGUACCAGCAUCAUGGAAGGGGUAUCUCCUCUUAUGUUGCACUACUUCAUUGUGAACACCUUCUUUCUUUGGUGCAUUCAGAUCAUCAACUGAUUUGAAAAUAAGUUCCUUUAACUCCAGUGAAUCAAUCUGACGCAUUGCAAAACGUGAUAGAUCACUGAGAGAACCUCGAAUGCAUUCAUAGAUCUUCUGCAUCCCAGCUUCCCCGACCGAUCUUGCAAAAUUUUCGGACCGGUCCAGAAAAUCUUCCACCUGGAAGAGAAAAAAAAAAGAAAUUUAUACAUGUCCCACGUACAUCAACAUUGUUGAGGAAUCACUUCAAAGCAACUUACGUUCAUGUUGCCAACUCCAGAUGCCCAUUGCUUCUUACAAAUCCAUGAUCCUUCGCAGGUACUGGCACAGAGACCAUGCCCCCACAAAUGCAUAACUGAUAACAACUACAACAGAAGAAAAGGAAAAAUAAAAAUAAAAUCGGCAAAGUUACCAAUUAGCCAGUGCUGUCUGUAUGUACUUUUCAAAACUUCUCAAAAAUGUGAAUGGGAAGUUUUAGCAUUGACAAUUGUUGUUGAACCAUGUAAUUUAAAGAUUAGUAGCAAUUGAUAAAUAAUAGAAAUCGCCCUUUCAGUGAUCUAAACAAUAUCCAAGUAAAUAUUUGCUCAAUUAUAAUGAGUAGCAAGCAAAUACAAAGGAGAAUAAAUGUAAAGCCUCCAAUUCCUACUCAAAUAUAUGUCAAUUACUUUAUGCAAGCUAAUCACAACUGACUAUUUAUUACAUGGACUGGAUUAUAUGAUUUAAUGUCCAUUUGUAUAAGCUAAUCAGAGCUCUUCAGUUAACAGCUGAUUUAAUGUCCAUUUCAUCUGGAUACAAUUGAAAGAAAAAAUCUCACCUUCCUCAAUAGAGACACAAAUAAUUCAGCUACAGAUUCUCGAUUUCUUAUACCAAAGUUCUUGAAUCCAGCAACUCUGCGCUCUAUACUUAACAUAUCUGUCCCAUCUGUAGAAAAGAAAAAGUUGAGGAAUUCAAACUACAAGAAAGUCAAUUAGUAGCAUGUAAAAUAGUCUAAUUUAGCUAGCAUGAAAAGAACAAAGGGCUCAAGUAACUAUUGAAGCCACCAAUCUUUGCAACAAAAUCAUCAUUUUUCUCCUGCUUCUUAUGCAACUUUGAUACAGGAACUACGGUCCUCAUACAGGUCAGACUGAUAAAUACCGGUCAAACAAGGACCAAUAUCAGACGAGAUAGCUUACUAUUAUUAAUUGGUGUUCACUCUUUUCUUUUUUGGUAUCACACAAUGGUGCACCGCACAGUAUGCUGGUACCAUACUGGUUGGUUGAGAAGAUGUUGAAAUUAGCAUUGGACUAAGAUUCUAAAACUUCAAUGACAACUAUAUGGAUGUUUUACAUCACAUCAACCAUGAGUGUGUUAGUCAUGGAGGAAAAAUUAUAGACUGGUAACACCGACUGAAAUAAUCCAUCACAAUGUGCUAGAUUCAUUAUUGCAAGUAUAAGUACUUUAUAUGAUACAGUAGCUGAACAAUUGGAAUCCAACCAACUUCAUAAAACAUUCUUCAAGAUUUAUCUGCAACAACCAAACCUAUCCCAGCCACCUCAGCAAGACUGUCUUAAUAUCAUCUAUGGUUCCAUAUAGACCUUGUAUACCUAAUAACCAUAGCUCAAGUAAAUACUAGAUAACUCCGCAGAAUCUAAUCAGUAGCUUAAAAAUGGACAUUGGCCUUUUAAUGGCCUCGUUUUUUUUUUCCUUGUAUCUGUAGAAUACACAUCAACAAUUUGAAAAAAAGUUCUACUGACUAAAAGACUCAAUCUGUUAUUUAGAUAGAGACAUAUUUAGUAAGCCUUCAGGUAAAACAAAAUUAAUUGGUCAGUAAAUCUAGCAUAGCAUAAAUAAAAUGUGAACAUUGAACUCUGGAGGAAAAGAAUGCUAUAUGUGGAGCACCAUGGACAAACAAGUGGCUGUUCACUUUACUGAAUAAUGAGAUGUUUGUAUAGGCUUAACUUAGACAAAUGGCUAAAGCCUCUUAACAAACUAAUAGCUCCAGCUUCUUUAUGUAUCAUAGACUAUAAUUUCAAAGACCACAAAACCAAACUACUUUCAGUGGUAGUUUGUCUUGGUAUAAUUUCACAUUGAUGUUUGUAUAUUAUCUUUCCAGUUUAACUACCUCAUUAUCCAGAAUUCUCACAAUAAACCUUGUAAGUAUACAUGCAAAUAGUAGGACUAGGUAAAGUGAAAUCAAUAAUGGAUAACAAAGAAAACUGUCUCCACAUAGCACCACAAUAAUCUCCAAGCUGUGAGAAGAAUUCCUAAGCUUUCAGAACAAAUCUAAAGGACCGAUACCUUUUAACAAUGCACAGAAAGGAGGAAGUAUAGGAGGAUUCCGGGUCUGUGCUGCAGAAAUAAUACAUUAUGAAAAUUGUGUUAGUUUGCAGCAAACAACUCUACAUAAGAUUACAGCCUGAGCAUAACAAGGAAUUCAAUAGAGUACACAACAUGCAGGCACAAACAAGGAUACAAAAUGGUGAUGAUUGCCUCACCAACAUUUCAGAUCUGAACCACACUGCUUAUCAUGCCAAUGGCCAACGAACACAGCAAUGGGUUAAAAUUAAAUUAAAAAGUAAAAAAUAGUUGUGAACCAUUUGAUAUAGGCAUGAGAAGCAAUGCUAGAGAAAUGCAUUUUUUUUUCCUAAAGAAACUCAAUAACUAAGGUUGGGCAGUAACAGAAAAAACAACAUGAAAAUCACAUUCUUGUACAUUUCAUUUAUGUUUCACUAACAUAUGUAGACUUGUUAAACAUAAAGUUGGAAUCCAUCAAUAUAUCCACAAUGUGGUAAUGAAUGAUCACCUUAGUCAUAUUUAAAAAAAAAACAUAUCGUUUAGCCAAAUCCUCACUAAACCAAAUAGAUCAUCAUGUUCAUCAUGCUCUCCCUUUGUCACAAUCCAUGUCUUUCUGUCUUCCUUGCACAAAUGCAUCCGAAGCAGCAUUUGAGUUGGGUAGAAUCAGAAUAUAAAUCAUCAAAUAACAAGUUCUUUAGUAUGUUAGAAGUUUCUUCCUUGGUGUAAAUAAGGCACAAGGAAUCAGCUGCACUAUAUUAGAUACAUAUUAUUAACUUAUAAGCAUUAGUGACAAAACUAGAUAAUGUGAAAAACAGUGAUAAGAGAGUCGUUCUGACCUCUAUGUAAUUCCAAUCAGUUUUUCUAACAGUAGUGAUGCCUGUUUUUGUCACCUAUCUUGUGAUCCUGUGUUACAUUCCCUCGUUAAAAAGCACAUAUACGAACACCUUUCUUGUCAUGCAAUUACUUCAACACAGAUUAUCCCUAUAAACUUGACCUCAAUUCAACUAAGUUGAUUCAUUUUGUCCCCUUCUAGCCAACACUAAUUAAACUUGGGCAAUGCCACAUAUACGGACAAGAAAACAGAAACAUAAUGACAACUUAGCAAUGGUAUGGCCUAAUUCAUUUGGUAAAUUCAGUCAGGGGAUUUUCGUUAAUUAAACUAGUGGUGCAGGACUACUGUCUGCCACUGAAAGAAAUAAAGCAUCAGCUAUUAUAUUGCUGAAAGCAAGGUUCAUAAUUUCGUAUCGUACCUGUGCUUUGAGAUUUUCUCGGUAUAGUACGGUAGAGACAUACCAAGCAAUACACUAGGGUGUACCGCUCGGUACGUGUGUAUAUAUAUAUAUAUAUAAUAUUGAAAAAAAAAAAGGAGGCAUACGCUGCCUCGACGAUGUCGCCUCCUUUUCUUCUCGUCGCGUCAUCUACGACGUCCGACGAAGGCGCCGAAGGCCAUAGAUGACUCCGACCUUCGACGAGGAAGCCGAGCCACCGCCUCUUCGUUUCCUUCUGGAUCGAGAUCGUUGUGAGAGGACGGCAUCGGAUCGGAAAGCAUCGAGGUUCUCCCGAUUUUCCCUCUUCUUCUCCUUCUUCUUUGAGCGUCUUCUCCCUCGACGUUUCUUCUUCCCUCGACGCACCUAGGUCGUAGCCAGGCUAAUACGGGCGGUAUUAUUCGAAAUUAAAACCCUUAGCCGAAAGUAUCAAAAUAGAAAAUAGUAAAGACUGCUACCGAAGCAAUUGUGAGAUGCUGGAGGUGAAGCUUGGGGAGGUUACAGAAGACCUUUCCCGCUAUCAUUUGACUGAUAUAUUACUUCGAUGAAAAUCUAACUUUGUAAGAUGAUAUUCCUGAAAAAGAAUGAAGGUUGUUUAACUUGGCCUACAAAUUCCAAGAAACUUAAAAUGAUAGUGUCUUCAUGACUUCCGACUGUAACAUACUCAGAAAAAGAAUGGACGAAAACAAUGUGACACUAACAAAUUCAUUAGGUAUAUAAUAGUUUUUCAAAUGGAUCUUAAACAAUAAUCAGAUUUGAUAUUUGACAUUAUGUGUCUUGUGGUCCUUAUAAUAAUAGAAACAACAUACAUGUUGCAUCUAGUUGAGUUCAACAACAUUAACAACAAAGUCAUAACGUCCCAACAGAGUCAUAACAUCUCAACUAUUUGGGAUGACUACAUGGAACUUUUGAUGUCAUUAAGAUAUGUAGAAAGUUGUAUUCUUAAUUAUCAUUUCUUGUAAAGUUUUUUUAGGUCUCACUCUACCGCUCCUGGCACUUUAGUAAUCGUUUCAUAUUUUUGACUAUAGUAUCUUCAUAUCUUUUUAGCACAUGUUCAUACCAAUUUAAACGAUUCUUCCUCUUUUUUUUCUUUUAUCAGAAUACAUCUAAUCGUUUAUGAAUGAAAAUAUUUUCUAUCUUUCCUAGUGCCCAUACAUCCACAUUAAUAUUCUCAAUUCAACAUCACAAACUUUUUAUAUAUGUUGUUCUUUGACUAUCCAAAACUCAGAUUUAUAAAGCAUCACAAAUCCAAUUAUGAUCUUCUAAAUUUUUUUUUUAAUCAUGUCAAAUCCAACAAAAUACUAAAAAUCAUGAUUCGCAUUAUCGGUCCAUACCGGUGUACCAAGCAACUGUUGGUACGGUAUGUACCAAACUAUACUAAGUUGUACCGAGGAAACCAACACAUGAUACAUUGGGAUAUCUCGACGUAUCGCCCGUGCCGGUCCUCUAUCGAACUGGUAUGUACCGCUCAUGCUGAACGGUAUGUUUCGAUACAUCAAAUCUUGCUAAAAAUCAUAUGAUACAUGUUAAAGCCUAUCAUUAUUUACAUGAAACAAUGCACUCUACCAUAAGAAAUGAACCUUUUUUCUUCACUUAGGUGACUGCAAAUAUAUGAGUUACAGAAUGAGAGAAAGGGGAGGAAGAGAAGUAGAUAAAGAAGGGGUCACUGGGUGGGACCACAAGCCUCAAACUGCACGAAGAGUACCAAAAUAUGUUUGCAUAACCUAGAACUAAAAUUGCUGUCAUCAUAGCCGAAUAACCUUAGUGUUCACCUCAAAACUUGAUGUUUGAAUACGAUGGAGGAGCCAAGUAUUAGCAUCGCAUCAACUAUGAUGUCAAUUUAUAUAGCAUAAAAAUAACAAUCAUAUGAAACCAUGACAUUAUGCACAUUCACCUGUAAAUGAAAAGCAACUAAUGCUAUGAUGGAUAAAGAGUUCAUAGUGCGGUCUUUUGAGCUGUUAAUGUCAUGUGCUUUUGCCCAAGCCUUCAUCUGCAAGAGAGCAUAUAUCAGCUACAUAGUCAACAAUAUAUUUAAGUGUGUCUUGUCUAAAAAUUCUACACAACUACUAUGAAAUCAAAACAACUUCAUACCCUUCUCUCAAAAGCCAAAACACAUGGUGAGAGAAGUAUAGCAAGAAGCACAAUUAAGAAAUUUAUUGAUGUUAGCUAAAUAAUCAAGAACAUAUCCAACACAAUCAAUGAAACCUAAAAUCAAGAAUUCUAACAUAAUCACUAAUGAAGGACAAAUAGAAAAUGUUACCAGAUAACACAAUAUCCGAAACCUUUCAUCAAUUGAAGAGACAAAUCUAAAAAUCAAGGAUCUUGAAAUACCAUCCUUGUUUUCAACUGAAAUAUCACAUUCAACUCCAGUUCUACAGUCUACAACCUUCAAAACUGGAACUCUAGCUCCCAUAAUUGGCAAGACUCCGGUGACAUGUCCUUUCCCUAUACAUUUAGAAGGACGAGUUAGAGACUAUUUUGAUGCAUAAUGUACAAGAACAAUGGGUGGUGACAAUUUGAUUUCCUAUAUAUUACAUAUGAACAUCAUAAAGCACAAUAAUUAAAAUGAAUUCACAUUGGCCCCAAAUCUACUCCAAACAAUUCCUAUCCAAGGUAGCAUAAAAUAAAAUGGAACAUAAUAAGAAAUUUUACCAACAUUUCAUCCAUAACAUUUCUUUGUGUUUUGGUAGAUUAAGAGAAUUCUAAACAAAGAAAACAAGUAUACCAAAGCCACAACAUAUAGAAACAGAUAAAAACUGAAGCCUACUUUGAUGACCAUACAAGACUUUGGAAAGCUUCCCAAGAACAGAAAUCUUCUCCUUACGAGGGAAGUUAUUCAUGUUAUUACUGAAGUUAACAGACAGAUCCAGAUCACUGCUAGAGGUAAAUAAGUCCAUAACAAAAGAUCCAAAUGCCUCAACAGUUGGGAAGCCACCAUUAUUACCUGAAUAAAAGCAUCAAAAGCAAGAAAACCGAGAACCAUGUCAAUUCAGUACAAAAUACUGAACUUCAAUAUGAGAAAAGAUGAGAAAAAGAAAUAACUUGCAAUAUGGCAGUUCCUUGGGAGAUAAAACUUACACAUAUAGACAAAAAAAGAAAAAAAAAUACAUGUUUUGAAGCAUUUGUACUGUAUGCAUGCAACUCAAAGUUAAAUCUGUAAAAUAACUGUGAUUGAAAUGCAUGCCCCAUGCAAUGACAACCAGUAGAUCAAGCCCUUCUAAUAAGCAAGACAACAAUGUGCUUUAUAACAGAUACUCAGAGAUACAUGGUAGCAUCAUCUAACAUCUAAUACAUCCAACUUCCAUGCAAAUCCAUAAUAUAUCAAGCACCUUCUGAUAACAAAUAUGACCGUCUAUUGAUAUUUUUUCCUACAGCAAAAUCAACCAAUUAAAAUCAAAUUCAUGACCAUAAGUAUGUUUAAUUUUUUUGCUUCAACUUUUUCAUCCAAUAUAUUAUAUCAAGCUAGCCUAUUCUCUGUGCAGUUCAGGCAUACUCAACAUGUAUACAAAAUUUAGUGAAGUGUUGCUUUUGUCUUCCUCUUGUGGUACCUGAACCUGAAACAACAUCCCACUACCUUUAUCAUGGCGUCAUCCUACAAGUUGUUCAGCCCUUAAAUCUGGUUAGCCUUGCUACAAAGCAUUUGUUUAAUUUGAUUUAAAUAGGUACAAUUGAUCAACUGCUGCCAGUUUAAAAUCUAACUCAAUCAUCAGGAUGGGUUAACUUAUUGGAUGAUUGUCCACAUGGCCCGCUUCUCAAAAAGGUAAGUUAACAGUUCCUAUUGUUUAAAAAGGGCUGCUACCUAUGCUUAAAAGCUCAGUCAAUACUGAUUCCAAACUCCGGCCAAACCGGCACAAUACGCCCCUAGACCCCCUAUUGAAUCAUACAUUUUAUAUUUUCUUUUAUUUUGCCUCAAUAAUGAAUCAAAACACAUUUUAAGUCCUAUAAGGCAUCAUAUAUCAGAAACACAUACCUAAGAAACUUGUGAAAAUGUAUGAAGUUAGCACAUGAUACAUAAGACAUGUAUUAAUCAUACAUCACACAUACAAGUCAAGUUGUAAAUUCAGGAAUUUAGUCACUAUAUAAGAUAACUUAUUAGUAAGGCAGCUGUCCAACCAGUUGCCCACUUUUUAUUGUAAUUCCUUAAGUCCUGGCGAUAGGGAGACUUCAACCAUGAGGAGCUCCGACCCGACUCGACCAUGGAAAACAAAAAUCAUUAUCAUUAUUUUCGACCACAUACAAACCAAAAUCAGAUGGAGAAAUCUCAUCCUGAAAUUGUUGCUCCAACAUCUAAUGGAUCAACUUCAUGUGAUGAGCAGCCAUUCCCUUGUCGCAUUAUAUAAAGAAGAUUGACUCGGUGGCACCUAUUGAGAAUUAACUGUUAAACACCCAACCAUGUCCUCACAUUUGAAUUAUGACCCUUGUUAUACCAAGAAGCCUCAUUCUCAUCCUUGAUCUACUUCAAAAUGAACCAUGAUGCAUAUGAUGGAUCUCCUAACUUGUGGAAGAGAUCUCCAGCCUUGUGGAAGAGUUCAUUGGUUAUUUACUAUUGUAACUGAUUUAAUAUUUGAGCUUAUUCCUCAAUCUAUCCAUCUUUAGGCAACACAACCGCAGAUGUGCAUUAUAAUGGAUCCAAAUAAACUUCUUCAAGCAUUUAUGAAAACAAUUACGAACUUCUUUGUGGGUCAAAGGAAAAUGUUGCCCAAUUACACCAGCAACCGUUGAAUAAUAUGAUUUCUAAUAUAAUUAGCAUAACAUAUAUGCUGCUUCAAAAUGAAUCUCUCAUGGCUCUACUGCAGAAUAUAAAAUUUUCCUGAUGAAUUGUGGAAAACAGUUCUCCAAAUUAGCAUCAACUGUUGUCCUGUUCGUGAAUACUACACCAAGUUUACAAAUAUUGAUUCUUUCUACAUGGUCAUUUCAUUUGGUAAAGAGUUAAUUUUUGCUACUGAAAUCUUGUUAAUGGAGUAAUUCAUUAUAUAUACAUGAAUAUGUAUAUAUAAAUGUAUACGUAUACAUGUAUAUAUGUGUAUGCAUAUGUAUAUGUACAUACACACACACACACACAAGACACACAUAUAUGUAUGUAUGUAAUAUUUUUUUAACUAUGGUUCGGGAUGACUCCUCGUGAAGAUGUCUUCAUGUAUUGACCACCACUCGCCACCCGCUUCAAUAUGCCUCCUCUCCCUCCUCCCUUUCCUUGUUCAACUUCAUUCUUGUUCCUCCUCUUCUUCCUUCUUCCUCUUCCAUCUUCCUCCCCUCCUCUCCUUCACCUAAUGGUAUCAUUGUACGUUCUAGCAGACCAAUACACACUACAUCAGAACAGCUUGGACUUGUCCGACCAUGGAUCAGCACAGGUCUAGUAACCAAAACUGCGAACCUUAUCAAGUAAAAAUAUUCUAGAUUACUUAGAAUCAUGCUUGAUAGUGUUUGGUUAUUGUAGUAGUUCAAUAUCACCCUACACUAUCUAAAUUGAUCCUUAGCCCCCUAAAAUUAGCAACAAUAUUCUCUUUAAUUGUUCUGGUAUAAAUUUGGACAAAAUUACAUCACCAUGACAAGGUUGCUUAACAGUACAAAUACAUGCUCAGUAACGUUCAAUAUACUUCCUUACAUCAAUAGAAGAUGCUAAGGAUUGUUUAACAUGUUGACAUAGGACAGAACUGAUGGUGAACCAGUAUACCAGCGUGUCCUGGACCAGUACAAUAAGCCAACAUAAGUUUGCAAGACACCACAACAAAUAUAUAUUUGGCAUGAUAAAUCUCUCGUAUUUUGUACAAUACUAAUAAAAGAAAUAAUUAAAUCUAGUUGGAAUCUUAUUGUUACAGAACCAGGUCUAAAGAUAUAUGAAAUUAAGAAACAAACAAGUGUUUCGAUGUUAAGCAUAUUUCAAAGAAUGAUACUUCAAUUUAGCAUUUAACAUUGAUUAACUCAUUGAGGCAAAAUGAAGUUUUGUACAGCAAUCUUUGAACAAAUGGAACUCAAGAAAACUACUGAUUAAUUAAAAAAUGCAAGAUAUAUCCAGAUAUGACUUGUACGAGAAAAAGAGAAAAACAUGAGAAAUAAAGGACCACAAGAGUACCAAAUCUAUCAACUGCCAUAGAAUUAAACUCUUCAAUUAAGAGCCUUCGUUGCUCAUAAUCAAUUGGCCUUGGUUGCAACAUUGCAUGAAUAUCAAGAAGCAAUGAGUCAAGAGUGGAAAAGACUUGAUGACCAAACAAGAUCUUUUCCGACUCCCUUAAUUCUGCUUUUGCUGCAUGCUUAAGCAAAGCUGAAGAGGGAACAAGAUUAAGGUAUUAACAUAAUAUCCAAGGCACCACAUCUAAUAUCUGAAAUCAAACAAAACAAUUGGCAAUAGAUUCUAAAGGCACAUCAGUACAGACUACAAAUGCUUUAAUUUCCAACUGAAUUUUGGUGCAACAACUUGUUUUUCUUCCAAUAACCUAUAAUUCCUAAAAGAAUAUAAAAAUCUUGCAAAAUAUAGAAAUAUAUUUUAUACACAUUUUAAAGUGUUGCCUUCCAAAAACUGUAGUUAUUAAAAAGUUAUUGUAACAUAAAAAGAUCUGGCAAUCGAUUAAUAUUCACCGAGAAAAUUAUAAUUGGUCCAGCAACGGAUAUUUAACAAUAUAAAUUGGAUAAUCUAAGGUAUCAUCGCCAAAUGACAUGUUUCCUCGUCAAACCUCUUCCAAGGUUGCACCAUUAGCAUGGUAAGAUAGUUCAGAAGUAUUCAUUAGUAUUCAUAAAUGAUCUUACACCAUUAGUAUGGUAAGACACUUCAGAAGUAUUUGUUUUGCUUUGAAAAGCAUCAUUUAAUCGGGAAGUGAAUUGGAUUCUGCACCUUGAGAACAAAAGAUAUAAUGGACCCACUGAAUUAAUUAUGCAAAUAAUUCAUGAAUGAAUAGGAUUAUUUUAACUGUAAGCAACUCCAAGUGUUAAAUAGCAUCAAACAGCUACAUAAUACCAAUUAUCAAGUGUAGAGCAAGACAACUAUGUAGGACCCAAGUACAUUCACCAAAUCACAACUAUCAUCAGUCUCAAUGGCUCGUUUUAAACAAAGCAUGGUACCAUCGUAAAACACAUAUACGGGAUUAUAUAUUCAAUUUUCAAGGAUUUAUUAUUGAAUUUAUGGCAACAAAAGCCAAUUUCAUGUUUCCACUUCUGGUGUGAAAGGCACCAUUAUAAUCAGACCAUUGCUCAAUUAAUAAGCAAGAUCCCAAGGAAAUGGAACGAAUUCCAAACUCUGAACUCCCUAUCACCGUUUAUAUUUUUAACUUCCGCUCUGUGUUCUUGUAUUACUUACACCUACAACCUAAAUUUACUGCAUAUGUUCUCUGAUGCAAAUUGAUUUACAACUUUCAUAGAAAUCUACUACUUAAAUUCCGCAAUCUAAAUUUUUACCUGUUCUUUUCUAUCUUCAACCCGAAAGAAUCAAAUUUUAAUUAUUCAGGCCAAUAAAAAUUUUCAGCUAACAAAAAUUCCAACAGUAAGCUACAACAUUAUCUUACAUGUCAUAAAACAGCAUACAAAGCUACUAUUACAACAGCCCAACAGCCCUUUUUUAAAGCUCAACAACAGAACCCUACAUGGUCCGAUAUCUGAUCAGUCAAAAGCCACCCAUACAGAAGUCAAUACCUGCUAAAUAGAGCCCUUAGGUAAUCCUGCUUACUUCGAUUUUCUCCCUCUUUUAUUCUUUAACAGACAUGAAACUCUGGUAAAUUCUACAAGCGUGUGCUAACAAAUGAGAUCAUCUUUGGUUCAAUUUAUAUUAUUUACCAAUUAUGUGACAAAAAGAAAGGAGCGGAUUCUCGCAUUUCAACUCCAAAGAUCUGAAUAGAUUUGUACAGUCAUAACACACAUGUUCAUCCUGUCUGGAAGCUUUCAUCCGUGCCUACACUGAAGGUCUCAUCGACUUGCAACCAGGAUAUUGUAAAAGCACCAGUUGAAGUGGGACAAGCAACAAUGUACGAGAAACAGAAUGACCUAUCUCAAAAUAAUUAACAACACAGGAGCAUAUAAGUCAGAAAUGCAGUACCUGAGGCAUCCAAGCUCAUGUCGCAUAACCUGCAAAUAAGAUAGAAUCUAGCAUCAUGCAUGUAGAAAGCAAAGGCAUCUAAUAAAAGCAUCACUGGAAGGCUUGUUCGUUCAGCUUAUGAACACUCCAUUCCUCAAGAGGAAAGGUUCCCAUUCUUUAUUGUGUCAAAAAAGACCACUAGUUCCUUUGAUACAAAGUUACAUGCUAAUUGCUUGCAUGCCAAAUAAUUUCAAGCGUAGAAAAAUAGACACACUAAGUCUCAAAAUCUCAUCAAUUUAAUUAUGCAGCAUUAAAAUAUCAACAAUACAUGAAAUGCUCUAAUUUAAAGAAGUGUAAACCGAAAAUCCAAGUGGAUGUCUAAGAAGCAUAAAUUCAUGUGAUUGGUUUCUGCAAUUAGUCCAUGGUUUAAUUAUUUUUUUUAUUUACUUCUUCCGUUAAGUAUUACACGACAGGCCUACUAGACGUGUGCCGCAGCCGAGCCACAAAAUGUCUCUUAGAGACUUUUCCUCAUUUUAUUACGUCUACUAAAACAUCUAUAAAUUUUUUUAGGCUUUGCAGACUUUUAAGUACCACCAUGAACUGACCGAAGAAGAAAAAUAAACAUUAAUCAUGCAUCCACACCUCAUAUGCACGCAAAUCGAGGUUUUAAGCGCUGUAUCAGCAGCUAAACAAGAAACAGAACAAGACGUAGAAGGAAUCGAACGCAUCAGAGUCUAAUUCUUGAACGAAACGAAAGAAACAAGCAAGAGGCUCCACAAGAAAUAAAUCAUAGAUUCAGAUUCAAACAACUAAGAGAUUGGAAAAGGGAAAAAGAGACAAGAAUCAUAUUAAAGAUCAAAAAUCGCCACAGCUAAACAAGAAAGGAGAAGUCGAAGUAGAGGUUCUUGGUACAAGGAAAUAAAAGAACUCCAAGAAUCACAUAGAGAAAUCCAAUACACCACAUCUAAGCGAGAAAGGAGAACUCGGAGUUGAAAUUCUUGGUAAAGGGUAAGAAAAGAGCACGAUCCUGCAUCUUGAACGACACACGACGGGAAUAGGUCAACGUCAAGAACCUCCACGAGCGCGGGUUCAAGAACCUGGAUCCAAGUGCCGGAGAUAUAACAAAGGGAGACCCCCGACGGAGACGAGGGAAGGGAAGGCGGGAAGCGAGAACAAGAAAUCUAAGGAGAGGGCUGUAAAGAACCAGCCUGCCUCCUCACGAGCGAUGAAGAACGAUGAGACGCGCACGGGCUGCUCCGAGGCAGAAGAGGAGAGGGGGAAGACGACUCGGUCGAUCGUUUAGAGACGGAAAGGAGAUAAACCAAGAGCAGGGCUGAGGUUGUGGUUCGACUAUGGUCCGGUCUGACUUGGGUGCGAAUUUGGUCGUGCACCAGAGUCGGUUCGGGCCGGUUACGGCAUCUAAUCUCCAGUGCGGAUCAAAAGCAGGUUGGCCCAAACCCGACGGGGCAGUAAGCCGAACCGGGUUCGUAGUCAACGGGGUUACGGGCUAGGCUGUUGCUAGUCCGGCUCAAGCUAUGGGUCACGGCCUAGAUUCGGUUCAUCAAGCCAUCGGCUUUUUUUUAAUUUAAAUAAAAAGAAAAUUAUUCAUUAAGUGCUAAAACUAAAUAUCUCAUCAGAGGACGCAAAAAGAGAUAGGGGAUGGAAUAAUACGCCAAGAGUGGGUCAGUCUUCUGGUUCUGUCCGGUUAGCUAACUCGUCAAGGCAUUGGCUUCAUUGUUUUGUUAUAUAUGGUCAGAGGUGGUGAGAUAGUAAACAAUUGCUGGUGUGAUCAUCAAACUUUGAAGCACCAUCUCAUCCACAGCAACUUGCAUUUAUUCAUGCUAGAAGUAGUCAAAGAAAAUGCUAGAAAAUAAACUUCAAACACAGGUAGCAACAUAGCAUUAUUAAAUAUACAUAUUAGGCAACAAUUUUGCUGCAAUACAGAGAACCACCAUAUAGCAACAUAGCGACAUUAAAUAUACACACUAGGCAACAAUUGUGGUGCAAUACAGAGAAGCAUAACGGAGGAAAGCCACAGACAAGAUAGAUAAAGGAGACACGACAGAGACCAAGAAAUUUUAAGAAAGCUCAUGGCCUGCUCUUGAAUGGGAUUGCCCUGAUAACUAUCUGUUGGUACAUAGCAGCAAGAGCAGCUCCAAUGAAUGGUCCAACCCAGAAAAUCCACUGAGGAGAGAGAAAAGGAAUUGCUUAGUGUUCAUCAUCCUGUCAAAAGCUACGAUAGGAGAAAAAAAAAAGAUCACUCGAUCACUUCCUUGUAGACUUACAUGAUCAUUCCAUGCAUGGCUCUUGUCAUAAACAAUUGCAGCUCCAAGGCUUCUGGCAGGAUUGAUGCCAGUGCCGGUGAUGGGGAUGGUGGCCAGGUGAACAAGGAACACUGCAAAUCCAAUAGGCAAGGGAGCAAGAACCUGCAAGAAACUCCACAAGAUAUAAGCCCCACAGUGGACAGAAACAAGGAGCUAUGGUGGAUCAUGCAAGUCGAUCAAAAUAUUUAUGCAUGUUAGGUCAUUUGGCUGCUCACAAGUGCUCAUUAAUCUAAGUUGCAUAUGAAAUGCAACAAGCAAAUAGAUAUUGCUAAAACAGGAAGGAAACUCACAGGCACAUGAGAGUCCCUAGCACUCCUCUUGGCAUCAGUGGCAGAGAAGACUGUGUAAACCAGGAUGAAGGUGCCAACAAUCUCAGCACCCAAGCCACCACCCUUGGUGUAACCAGGGGCCACAACAUUCGCUCCACCUCCAUUGUUCUCAUAGAGCCCCUUCUUAAACCCUUUCACCACGCCCGCACCGCAUAUGGCACCUAGACACUGCAUCACCAUGUAGAACAGAGCCCUGGUCAGGGACAGCUUCCUGGCCAGGAGCAGCCCAAAGGUCACAGCCGGGUUGAUGUGGCCACCUGAAAACCCAGAGCAUAACUCAGUCGAAGAUAUUGCCGUGAUCACAAGUGAGGAAGGAAACAAGCAGAGGAUGUGUUUGUUCACCUGAGAUCCCAGCGGUGCAGUAGACCAAGAUAAAGAUCAUGCCACCAAAGGCCCAGGCAAUCCCCUGGAUGCCCACGGUGGAGCACUUGGUGUUGGACUUGACCACACCCAUGACGGUGAGGAUGCUGAUGUAGAGGAAGAGGAAGGUGGCCAUGAAUUCUGCUAUGCCAGCCCUGUAGAAGGACCAUGAGCUGAGCUCCGCUGGCUCAAACAGUGGAGCUGGUGGUGGCUCCUGGUAGUCCCUGUCCUGACUCUGGGCAGCUGUCCCUAUUGCCUGCCUCUCCGAGAACUUGUUUGCUCCCACCCUCACAUCCUCCUCU
rnacentral:lncRNA from 1 species